rnacentral:tRNA from 1 species
GCCUCGGUAGCGCAGUAGGUAGCGCGUCAGUCUCAUAAUCUAACUGUAGUUCGGAGGAAUCUGAAGGUCGUGAGUUCGAUCCUCACCCGGGGCA